GAACGGGUGAGUAACACAUAAGUAACCUGCCCUAGACAGGGGGAUAACUAUUGGAAACGAUAGCUAAGACCGCAUAGGUACGGACACUGCAUGGUGACCGUAUUAAAAGUGCCUCAAAGCACUGGUAGAGGAUGGACCUAUGGCGCAUUAGCUGGUUGGCGGGGUAACGGCCCACCAAGGCGACGAUGCGUAGCCGACCUGAGAGGGUGACCGGCCACACUGGGACUGAGACACGGCCCAGACUCCUACGGGAGGCAGCAGUAGGGAAUUUUCGGCAAUGGGGGAAACCCUGACCGAGCAACGCCGCGUGAAGGAAGAAGGUUUUCGGAUUGUAAACUUCUGUUAUAAAGGAAGAACGGCGGCUACAGGAAAUGGUAGCCGAGUGUCGGUACUUUAUUAGAAAGCCACGGCUAACUACGUGCCAGCAGCCGCGGUAAUACGUAGGUGGCAAGCGUUAUCCGGAAUUAUUGGGCGUAAAGAGGGAGCAGGCGGCAGCAAGGGUCUGUGGUGAAAGCCUGAAGCUUAACUUCAGUAAGCCAUAGAAACCAGGCAGCUAGAGUGCAGGAGAGGAUCGUGGAAUUCCAUGUGUAGCGGUGAAAUGCGUAGAUAUAUGGAGGAACACCAGUGGCGAAGGCGACGAUCUGGCCUGCAACUGACGCUCAGUCCCGAAAGCGUGGGGAGCAAAUAGGAUUAGAUACCCUAGUAGUCCACGCCGUAAACGAUGAGUACUAAGUGUUGGAUGUCAAAGUUCAGUGCUGCAGUUAACGCAAUAAGUACUCCGCC
rnacentral:rRNA from 1 species